rfam:Gossypium raimondii Chr06_contig_916, whole genome shotgun sequence.
CACGUCAGCGCGCUUUGCUGACGUGGCAACAAAUCGCAUCCUAGAGGGCACAAUUUGUUUCCAUGUCAGCAAAGUGCGCUGACGUGG